rnacentral:rRNA from 1 species
AUUGAACGCUGGCGGCAGGCCUAACACAUGCAAGUCGAGCGGAUGAAGGGAGCUUGCUCCUGGAUUCAGCGGCGGACGGGUGAGUAAUGCCUAGGAAUCUGCCUGGUAGUGGGGGAUAACGUCCGGAAACGGGCGCUAAUACCGCAUACGUCCUGAGGGAGAAAGUGGGGGAUCUUCGGACCUCGCUAUCAGAUGAGCCCAGCUCGGAUUAGCUAGUUGGUGGGGUAUAGGCCUUUCAAGGGGACGAGCGGUAACUGCUAUGAGAGGGUGGUCACUCAGAAGGGCAGUGAGAAACAGUACAGACUCCGACGCGAGGACGCGGCGCGGACUCUUGCGCAAUGGGCGAAUGCGUGAUACUGCAAAGCCGGGUGUAUGAAGAAGGUCCUCGGAUUGUAAAGUGAUUUAAGUCGUGAGGAUGUGAAGUAAUUUUAUCCCUUGCGGUAUUGACGUUACCAGCAGAAUAAGCACCGGCUAACUCCGUG